rnacentral:misc_RNA from 1 species
GAUGAAGAACGCAGCGAAAUGCGAUAAGUAAUGCGAAUUGCAGAAUUCCGUGAGUCAUCGAAUCUUUGAACGCACAUUGCGCCCUCUGGUAUUCCGGGGGGCAUGCCUGUUCGAGCGUCAUUGCAAACCCCUCAAGCACGGCUUGUGUGUUGGACCAUCGUCCCCUAUGGACGGGCCUGAAAUGCAGUGGCAGCACCGAGUCCUGGUGUCUGAGUGUAUGGGAAUCUCUAUCGCUCAAAGACCCAAUCGGCGCUGAUGUCAGAUUUUUAUCCAGUUUGACCUCGGAUCAGGUAGGAGUACCCGCUGAACUUAAGCAUAUCAAUAAGCGGAGGA